AAAGAAACCAACAGGGAUUGCCCCAGUAACGGCGAGUGAAGCGGCAACAGCUCAAAUUUGAAAUCUGGCCCCUAGGGUCCGAGUUGUAAUUUGUAGAGGAUGCUUUUGGUGAGGUGCCGCCCGAGUUCCCUGGAACGGGACGCCGCAGAGGGUGAGAGCCCCGUCUGGCUGGCCACCGAGCCUCUGUAAAGCUCCUUCGACGAGUCGAGUAGUUUGGGAAUGCUGCUCAAAAUGGGAGGUAUAUGUCUUCUAAAGCUAAAUAUUGGCCAGAGACCGAUAGCGCACAAGUAGAGUGAUCGAAAGAUGAAAAGCACCUUGAAAAGAGGGUUAAACAGUACGUGAAAUUGUUGAAAGGGAAGCGCUUGUGACCAGACUUGGGCGCGGCGGAUCAUCCGGGGUUCUCCCCGGUGCACUUCGCCGUGUUCAGGCCAGCAUCAGUUCGGCGCGGGGGAAAAAGGCUUCGGGAACGUGGCUCCUCCGGGAGUGUUAUAGCCCGUUGCAUAAUACCCUGCGCUGGACUGAGGACCGCGCAUCUGCAAGGAUGCUGGCGUAAUGGUCACCAGCGACCCGUCUUGAAACACGGACCAAGGAGUCGUCUUCGUAUGCGAGUGUUCGGGUGUCAAACCCCUACGCGUAAUGAAAGUGAACGCAGGUGAGAGCUUCGGCGCAUCAUCGACCGAUCCUGAUGUUCUCGGAUGGAUUUGAGUAAGAGCAUACGGGGCCGGACCCGAAAGAAGGUGAACUAUGCCUGUAUAGGGUGAAGCCAGAGGAAACUCUGGUGGAGGCUCGCAGCGGUUCUGACGUGCAAAUCGAUCGUCAAAUAUGGGCAUGGGGGCGAAAGACUAAUCGA
rnacentral:rRNA from 1 species